rnacentral:tRNA from 1 species
GCGGGUAUGGUAUAGCGGUAACACGUGAGCUUCCCAAGCUUGAGUCGAGGGUUCGAUCCCCUCUGCCCGCACCA